AAAUGUUUUAAAUGCGAUAAAAUAAAAUAUAUUGCUAAAAAUUGCUUUAAAAAUUAAAAAAAUACCCCUAAUUUUAAAAACAAAACCGAAAAAUUACAAAAAUUUUAUACCACCAACCAUUAAUAAAUAUAAUUUAAUUAAUACCGCGCAAUAAAUUGGACCACCUGCUAUAAUAAUAAUUAUAUAAUAUAUAAUAAUUCCAAAAUUAACGCAAAUUAAUACCCACAAAAACCCCGAAACAUUCGAACCCUAAUAAUAAAAAACCAAAUAUUUAUAAGGAUAAAAUAAUUAAUAAAUUUAUACCGAUAAAAAACCCAAUUAUCCGAAUUUACGAAUUCGGACGUUUUGAAAAAAUCGGAUAAAGAAUUUUUGGAACAAAUCCACUAUAUUAAAACAACCAAUUAAUUUUUAAUAUAAAAAUUAAACGAAGAUUUAAAAAAAAAAUCCAGCGAAAAAAAAUUAUAUUUUCGAAUUAAUAUAACGUAAUAAAAAAAAACAAUUUUUAUAUAUACGAAAAAAAAUAUAUCGAUUUAUACCGAAACGACCAAUUAAUACAAUUUUCCAAAUUACUAUUUUAAAUAUAAAUCCGACAUUUUACGGAAUUAAUUAAUGCAAUUUUUGGAAAUUACCCGAUUUUGGAUAUUAAAUAUUUUUAAUACGCAAAAAUCUUUUGGGCAAAAUAUUUCCGAAACAAUUAUAAAUUUUAUUUAAAUAAAAAAAUAAUUUACAAUUUUUU
rnacentral:sRNA from 1 species